rnacentral:rRNA from 1 species
GAUGAACGCUGGCGGCGUGCUUAACACAUGCAAGUCGAACGAUGAAGCCCAGCUUGCUGGGUGGAUUAGUGGCGAACGGGUGAGUAACACGUGAGUAACCUGCCCUUAACUCUGGGAUAAGCCUGGGAAACUGGGUCUAAUACCGGAUAGGAGCGUCCACCGCAUGGUGGGUGUUGGAAAGAUUUAUCGGUUUUGGAUGGACUCGCGGCCUAUCAGCUUGUUGGUGAGGUAUUGGCUCACCAAGGCGACGACGGGUAGCCGGCCUGAGAGGGUGACCGGCCACACUGGGACUGAGACACGGCCCAGACUCCUACGGGAGGCAGCAGUGGGGAAUAUUGCACAAUGGGCGCAAGCCUGAUGCAGCGACGCCGCGUGAGGGAUGACGGCCUUCGGGUUGUAAACCGCUUUCAGUAGGGAAGAAGCGAAAGUGACGGUAACUGCAGAAGAAGCACCGGCUAACUACGUG